rnacentral:lncRNA from 1 species
GCGCUGGUGGUGAAGUCCGACGAGGAGAGGCGCCGGUGGAGGAUACCGGAGGUAGAACCCAGCAUGAGCGAGGGCGGUGGCAAACAUCAGGCUGCCGGAGUGUCCAGAUCUGGCAACAUCCUGGUCCGAGGGCAAGGAGAAAAUAGGGAGGAGGGGCUUCUCGGAUCGGAUGAGCUAUUGGGGGCUUUUGUAGCCCUCCCCAGGGAAGGAAGAAAAUGGCCGUGGCUCGUUCACCGCCGUGAUGCUCGCGGCGGUUGAGCGGGAUCGGAGGCCAUUCAAGAGUCCACGGCAUUUCUGCUCCAGUCUCGCCUCCGUUACCCCGAGGAAGAAGACCAGAGGAUCCUCUUAUGCUGGAAAGAGCGCUUCGGGCCCAAGGGCUGAGGGGCACCCGGUACCGCUUCCUCUACGGGGACCUCAAGGAGAACGCCCGGCUCAUCAAGGAGGCCCGGGCCAAACUCACGCCUCUCUCUCACGACAUCGGCCCCGGGUCGCUCCCUUCUAUCAUCGUGUCACGAAGGAAAACGUAACUGUUGCCAGGAAAAAAAAAAAACUAAUCACAGGCAACAGUUGAACGGUUUCUUCCUUAUUACACGACCAGUUUGAUGCAGGUAAAAUGUCAUUCACUUGGUUCGGGCCUGAUCCGAGAGUAAUCAUUAUGGAUCCAGGACUGACAAGAGAAAUUCUGUCCAACAAGUUUGGUCACUUUGAGAAGCCAAACUCAAAUCCUCUACUGAGGUUAUUGGUUGCAGGACUCUUAAGUUAUGAUGGUGAGAAAUGGGCCAAACAUAGGAAGAUCAUCAAUCCUGCUUUCCAUCUAGAGAAAUUAAA